rnacentral:rRNA from 1 species
AGUGAACGCUGGCGGUAGGCCUAACACAUGCAAGUCGAACGGCAGCACAGGAGAGCUUGCUCUCUGGGUGGCGAGUGGCGGACGGGUGAGGAAUACAUCGGAAUCUACUCUGUCGUGGGGGAUAACGUAGGGAAACUUACGCUAAUACCGCAUACGACCUACGGGUGAAAGCAGGGGACCUUCGGGCCUUGCGCGAUUGAAUGAGCCGAUGUCGGAUUAGCUAGUUGGCGGGGUAAAGGCCCACCAAGGCGACGAUCCGUAGCUGGUCUGAGAGGGUGAUCAGCCACAAUGGAACUGAGACACGGUCCUGACUCCUACGGGAGGCAGCAGUGGGGAAUAUGGGACAAUGGGGGCAAGCCUGAGCCAGCCAUACCGCGUGGGUGAAGAAGGCCUUCGGGUUGUAAAGCCCUUUUGUUGGGAAAGAAAUCCAGCUGGCUAAUACCCGGUUGGGAUGACGGUACCCAAAGAAUAAGCACCGGCUAACUUCGUGCCAGCCGCCGCCGUAA